rnacentral:rRNA from 1 species
GUGGGGAAUAUUGGACAAUGGGCGAAAGCCUGAUCCAGCCAUGCCGCGUGUGUGAAGAAGGUCUUCGGAUUGUAAAGCACUUUAGGUUGGGAGGAAGGGCAGUAAGUUAAUACCUUGCUGUUUUGACGUUACCAACAGAAUAAGCACCGGCUAACUUCGUGCCAGCAGCCGCGGUAAUACGAAGGGUGCAAGCGUUAAUCGGAAUUACUGGGCGUAAAGCGCGCGUAGGUGGUUUUGUAAGUUGGAGGUGAAAUCCCCGGGCUCAACCUGGGAACUGCCUCCAAAACUGCAUGACUAGAGUACGGUAGAGGGUAGUGGAAUUUCCUGUGUAGCGGUGAAAUGCGUAGAUAUAGGAAGGAACACCAGUGGCGAAGGCGACUACCUGGACUGAUACUGACACUGAGGUGCGAAAGCGUGGGGAGCAAACAGGAUUAGAAACCCCUGUAGUCC